CCCGCGGCAAGACGGAAAGACCCCGUGAACCUUUACUAUAGCUUGACACUGAACAUUGAGCCUUGAUGUGUAGGAUAGGUGGGAGGCUUUGAAGUGUGGACGCCAGUCUGCAUGGAGCCGACCUUGAAAUACCACCCUUUAAUGUUUGAUGUUCUAACGUGGACCCGUGAUCCGGGUUGCGGACAGUGUCUGGUGGGUAGUUUGACUGGGGCGGUCUCCUCCUAAAGAGUAACGGAGGAGCACGAAGGUUGGCUAAUCCUGGUCGGACAUCAGGAGGUUAGUGCAAUGGCAUAAGCCAGCUUGACUGCGAGCGUGACGGCGCGAGCAGGUGCGAAAGCAGGUCAUAGUGAUCCGGUGGUUCUGAAUGGAAGGGCCAUCGCUCAACGGAUAAAAGGUACUCCGGGGAUAACAGGCUGAUACCGCCCAAGAGUUCAUAUCGACGGCGGUGUUUGGCACCUCGAUGUCGGCUCAUCACAUCCUGGGGCUGAAGUAGGUCCCAAGGGUAUGGCUGUUCGCCAUUUAAAGUGGUACGCGAGCUGGGUUUAGAACGUCGUGAGACAGUUCGGUCCCUAUCUGCCGUGGGCGCUGGAGAACUGAGGGGGGCUGCUCCUAGUACGAGAGGACCGGAGUGGACGCAUCACUGGUGUUCGGGUUGUCAUGCCAAUGGCACUGCCCGGUAGCUAAAUGCGGAAGAGAUAAGUGCUGAAAGCAUCUAAGCACGAAACUUGCCCCGA
rnacentral:rRNA from 1 species